GCCAGAGGCACCAAGAAAUUAACUAACCUGCCCAAGGACCGAUGACUUGUGAAUGAUGGCAUUAGGAUUUGAAUCCAGGUCUGAUUCUAAAGUUCCACUUUUAAGUACUCAGCCCUGCCACACCUUGAGGCGAGCUUGCUGGUUCCUUGGCGAACAUGUUUCAACCUCUGACAUAUUGCAAGAAGAGGGAAAGAUACUAUCCAGAGAUGAUAUUCAAAAUACUCCGCAACAGAAUGGAUAUUGACCUCUGCGUGGAGCACAGUCCUCAAGGUAAUUCUUACGUUGCUGGACUCAGAGGUCCAGGUGACAGGAG
rnacentral:lncRNA from 1 species